rnacentral:rRNA from 1 species
ACUAAGCGUACACGGUGGAUGCCUUGGCAGUUAGAGGCGAUGAAGGACGUGCUAAUCUGCGAUAAGCGUCGGUAAGGUGAUAUGAACCGUUAUAACCGGCGAUUUCCGAAUGGGGAAACCCAGUGUGAUUCGUCACACUAUCAUUAACUGAAUCCAUAGGUUAAUGAGGCGAACCGGGGGAACUGAAACAUCUAAGUACCCCGAGGAAAAGAAAUCAACCGAGAUUCCCCCAGUAGCGGCGAGCGAACGGGGAGCAGCCCAGAGCCUGAAUCAGUGUGUGUGUUAGUGGAAGCGUCUGGAAAGGCGUGCGAUACAGGGUGACAGCCCCGUACACAAAAAUGCACAUACUGUGAGCUCGAUGAGUAGGGCGGGACACGUGGUAUCCUGUCUGAAUAUGGGGGGACCAUCCUCCAAGGCUAAAUACUCCUGACUGACCGAUAGUGAACCAGUACCGUGAGGGAAAGGCGAAAAGAACCCCGGCGAGGGGAGUGAAAAAGAACCUGAAACCGUGUACGUACAAGCAGUGGGAGCACGCUUAGGCGUGUGACUGCGUACCUUUUGUAUAAUGGGUCAGCGACUUAUAUUCUGUAGCAAGGUUAACCGAAUAGGGGAGCCGAAGGGAAACCGAGUCUUAACUGGGCGUUAAGUUGCAGGGUAUAGACCCGAAACCCGGUGAUCUAGCCAUGGGCAGGUUGAAGGUUGGGUAACACUAACUGGAGGACCGAACCGACUAAUGUUGAAAAAUUAGCGGAUGACUUGUGGCUGGGGGUGAAAGGCCAAUCAAACCGGGAGAUAGCUGGUUCUCCCCGAAAGCUAUUUAGGUAGCGCCUCGUGAAUUCAUCUCCGGGGGUAGAGCACUGUUUCGGCAAGGGGGUCAUCCCGACUUACCAACCCGAUGCAAACUGCGAAUACCGGAGAAUGUUAUCACGGGAGACACACGGCGGGUGCUAACGUCCGUCGUGAAGAGGGAAACAACCCAGACCGCCAGCUAAGGUCCCAAAGUCAUGGUUAAGUGGGAAACGAUGUGGGAAGGCCCAGACAGCCAGGAUGUUGGCUUAGAAGCAGCCAUCAUUUAAAGAAAGCGUAAUAGCUCACUGGUCGAGUCGGCCUGCGCGGAAGAUGUAACGGGGCUAAACCAUGCACCGAAGCUGCGGCAGCGACGCUUAUGCGUUGUUGGGUAGGGGAGCGUUCUGUAAGCCUGUGAAGGUGUGCUGUGAGGUAUGCUGGAGGUAUCAGAAGUGCGAAUGCUGACAUAAGUAACGAUAAAGCGGGUGAAAAGCCCGCUCGCCGGAAGACCAAGGGUUCCUGUCCAACGUUAAUCGGGGCAGGGUGAGUCGACCCCUAAGGCGAGGCCGAAAGGCGUAGUCGAUGGGAAACAGGUUAAUAUUCCUGUACUUGGUGUUACUGCGAAGGGGGGACGGAGAAGGCUAUGUUGGCCGGGCGACGGUUGUCCCGGUUUAAGCGUGUAGGCUGGUUUUCCAGGCAAAUCCGGAAAAUCAAGGCCGAGGCGUGAUGACGAGGCACUACGGUGCUGAAGCAACAAAUGCCCUGCUUCCAGGAAAAGCCUCUAAGCAUCAGGUAACAUCAAAUCGUACCCCAAACCGACACAGGUGGUCAGGUAGAGAAUACCAAGGCGCUUGAGAGAACUCGGGUGAAGGAACUAGGCAAAAUGGUGCCGUAACUUCGGGAGAAGGCACGCUGAUACGUAGGUGAAGCGACUUGCUCGUGGAGCUGAAAUCAGUCGAAGAUACCAGCUGGCUGCAACUGUUUAUUAAAAACACAGCACUGUGCAAACACGAAAGUGGACGUAUACGGUGUGACGCCUGCCCGGUGCCGGAAGGUUAAUUGAUGGGGUUAGCGCAAGCGAAGCUCUUGAUCGAAGCCCCGGUAAACGGCGGCCGUAACUAUAACGGUCCUAAGGUAGCGAAAUUCCUUGUCGGGUAAGUUCCGACCUGCACGAAUGGCGUAAUGAUGGCCAGGCUGUCUCCACCCGAGACUCAGUGAAAUUGAACUCGCUGUGAAGAUGCAGUGUACCCGCGGCAAGACGGAAAGACCCCGUGAACCUUUACUAUAGCUUGACACUGAACAUUGAGCCUUGAUGUGUAGGAUAGGUGGGAGGCUUUGAAGUGUGGACGCCAGUCUGCAUGGAGCCGACCUUGAAAUACCACCCUUUAAUGUUUGAUGUUCUAACGUGGACCCGUGAUCCGGGUUGCGGACAGUGUCUGGUGGGUAGUUUGACUGGGGCGGUCUCCUCCUAAAGAGUAACGGAGGAGCACGAAGGUUGGCUAAUCCUGGUCGGACAUCAGGAGGUUAGUGCAAUGGCAUAAGCCAGCUUGACUGCGAGCGUGACGGCGCGAGCAGGUGCGAAAGCAGGUCAUAGUGAUCCGGUGGUUCUGAAUGGAAGGGCCAUCGCUCAACGGAUAAAAGGUACUCCGGGGAUAACAGGCUGAUACCGCCCAAGAGUUCAUAUCGACGGCGGUGUUUGGCACCUCGAUGUCGGCUCAUCACAUCCUGGGGCUGAAGUAGGUCCCAAGGGUAUGGCUGUUCGCCAUUUAAAGUGGUACGCGAGCUGGGUUUAGAACGUCGUGAGACAGUUCGGUCCCUAUCUGCCGUGGGCGCUGGAGAACUGAGGGGGGCUGCUCCUAGUACGAGAGGACCGGAGUGGACGCAUCACUGGUGUUCGGGUUGUCAUGCCAAUGGCACUGCCCGGUAGCUAAAUGCGGAAGAGAUAAGUGCUGAAAGCAUCUAAGCACGAAACUUGCCCCGAGAUGAGUUCUCCCUGACCCUUUAAGGGUCCUGAAGGAACGUUGAAGACGACGACGUUGAUAGGCCGGGUGUGUAAGCGCAGCGAUGCGUUGAGCUAACCGGUACUAAUGAACCGUGAGGCUUAACC